AGGUAAUUCCUGCCCAGUGACUUUACAAGUUCAACGGCCGCGGUAUCCUAACCGUGCAAAGGUAGCAUAAUCACUUGCCCAUUAAUUGUGGGCUAGAAUGAAAGGACUAACGAAAUAGAUACUGUCUCUAUAAGUGUAAUAAAAAUUAAUCUCUAACUGAAGAAUGUUAGAUAAUAUCGAAGGACAAGAAGACCCUAUAGAGCUUCAUUUAACAAAAGGCACACUAACUUUUCUAUAAUUCGGUUGGGGCGACCAGGGAAAUAAUAAAUCAUCCCUCUCAUUAAUAGAUAAAUUAAUCUUCCUACAUGACCCUUGAAAAAGAUCACAAAACCAAGCUACCUUAGGGAUAACAGGCUUAUUCUAUUAAAGAGUCCUUAUCAAUAAUAGAGUUUGGCACCUCGAUGUUGGCUUAGGGAAUCUAUACGGCGCAAAAGUCAUAUAAAGAUGGUUUGUUCAACCAAUAAUACCCUACGUGAUC
rnacentral:rRNA from 1 species